UACGUAGGGUGCAAGCGUUGUCCGGAAUUAUUGGGCGUAAAGAGCUCGUAGGCGGUUCGUCGCGUCGGCUGUGAAAACCCGAGGCUCAACCUCGGGCCUGCAGUCGAUACGGGCGGACUGGAGUUCGGCAGGGGAGACUGGAAUUCCUGGUGUAGCGGUGAAAUGCGCAGAUAUCAGGAGGAACACCGGUGGCGAAGGCGGGUCUCUGGGCAGUAACUGACGCUGAGGAGCGAAAGCGUGGGGAGCGAACAGG
rnacentral:rRNA from 1 species